rnacentral:rRNA from 1 species
CGAACGGGUGAGUAACACGUGGGUGAUCUGCCCUGCACUUUGGGAUAAGCCUGGGAAACCGGGUCUAAUACCGAAUAUGACCACGGACCGCAUGGUUCGUGGUGGAAAGCUUUUGCGGUGUGGGAUGAGCCCGCGGCCUAUCAGCUUGUUGGUGGGGUGAUGGCCUACCAAGGCGACGACGGGUAGCCGGCCUGAGAGGGUGACCGGCCACACUGGGACUGAGAUACGGCCCAGACUCCUACGGGAGGCAGCAGUGGGGAAUAUUGCACAAUGGGCGCAAGCCUGAUGCAGCGACGCCGCGUGAGGGACGACGGCCUUCGGGUUGUAAACCUCUUUCAGCACAGACGAAGCGCAAGUGACGGUAUGUGCAGAAGAAGGACCGGCCAACUACGUGCCAGCAGCCGCGGUAAUACGUAGGGUCCGAGCGUUGUCCGGAAUUACUGGGCGUAAAGAGCUCGUAGGUGGUUUGUCGCGUUGUUCGUGAAAACUCACAGCUCAACUGUGGGCGUGCGGGCGAUACGGGCAGACUGGAGUACUGCAGGGGAGACUGGAAUUCCUGGUGUAGCGGUGGAAUGCGCAGAUAUCAGGAGGAACACCGGUGGCGAAGGCGGGUCUCUGGGCAGUAACUGACGCUGAGGAGCGAAAGCGUGGGGAGCGAACAGGAUUAGAUACCCUGGUAGUCCACGCCGUAAACGGUGGGUACUAGGUGUGGGUUUCCUUCCUUGGGAUCCGUGCCGUAGCUAACGCAUUAAGUACCCCGCCUGGGGAGUACGGCCGCAAGGCUAAAACUCAAAGAAAUUGACGGGGGCCCGCACAAGCGGCGGAGCAUGUGGAUUAAUUCGAUGCAACGCGAAGAACCUUACCUGGGUUUGACAUGCACAGGACGCCGGCAGAGAUGUCGGUUCCCUUGUGGCCUGUGUGCAGGUGGUGCAUGGCUGUCGUCAGCUCGUGUCGUGAGAUGUUGGGUUAAGUCCCGCAACGAGCGCAACCCUUGUCCUAUGUUGCCAGCGGGUCAUGCCGGGGACUCGU